rnacentral:rRNA from 1 species
AUUUUAAGAUGAGAGUUUGAUCCUGGCUCAGGACGAACGCUGGCGGCGUGCCUAAUACAUGCAAGUCGAACGCGU